rnacentral:lncRNA from 1 species
GGUAUGAGCAGCCAGGAUAUUGAUAGGGGCAGUCAAGAAAAGAAUUCUACUGAAAUAAGGUAAAGAAAGAUUUUUUUAAGGGUUGGAGAAAGGAGCAUAUUCACUGUCUGAAAGGAAGGAACCAGUAGAAGAAAACAGAUUGAAGGCAUAGCUGAGAGAGCUGAGUGCUGGGUCCAUUUUGGAUCCUAUCUAUAUGCUCAGUUAUCACCCUAGAUUCUUCGACUAAUUCUUUGUCCAAAGAAAAUGCCAAAAGCUCUAGGCUAGUGUCAGAGCCUCAAGUCACCCUCAUUGCUUUCUGCUACUUGCUGACUUUGUUACAGGUCCUAGUUCUUGGGUUCUGGCUCUAUCCCUUGUGGCCAAGCCCUUGACUUAAGCCUCAAUUCAUUCCAAUUAUUCUAUUUCAAGUUCUCAAUUUGAUUCAUUUCUGAGAAUUCUUGUUGAACUCUCUAGAAAUGAGGUUUUUGCCUCACACUUCACUUUCUUCUUAGGUAUGGUAUUAUACACUUAUAACUGCCUACGUCGCAGCCAUUUCCCACCUUCUUCUUCCUGGUUAAUAUAACCCCAAUUCUGUUCAGAUCUCCAGUGACAAUAUACUUUAAGGGAUGGUCAGCCCCUUCCCACCCUGGGAGGGGAAUUUACUUAGUCAAAGCUAGUUAUGUAAAUUCUAUUUCCCUGGACAGUAAUUGGUUCUGGAAAAGGAUGUUUCAAAAUUCUUAUCUGAUGGCAGUCUGAAGUCCUGGAAGAAAGAUUUCCACUUUUUCUACUGGAUAUAGCUGUGUCUACAUGGAAUACCUGGCAAAUGGACUCAUCCAGCAACCAUGAAAGAACAAGACAGAGCUGCCGAGCAAAAAGGAGAGAACCUGGGUGCAUGGAAUAUUGUCAAACCACUGUGUUAGUUAGUGGUACCCAGAAUUGCCUACCUUUGGUUUUCUUGUUAUAUAAGUUGUUUUCUCAAAUAUGUUUCAUUGGGCUUUCUGUUUCUUAAAAAAGAUUCUAAGUGACAUACUGUAAAAGAAAAGGCUGAGAAAAACUGACUUUAUUGAGGUCAUACUACAUAACAAAUAUUUUGCAUCCAUUAUUUGGCUUAAUUUUUAUAACCACCUUAUGAAGUUCAUAUUUGAUCUCCAUUUAAAGAGGAGUACAACCCAAAAA